AAUGUUUUCACAUAAAUUUGUAGUCGAAGGCAUGAAGUUUCCGCUUUUUUGAUUGUUCAGCCACCUUUAUACAUGUAUUUUCUAUUUAUGUGCCAAAUUUCAACGAAAAAUAUUAGGGAGCAGAUAUGUAACGAGGUGCUUUUUUAAAUAUACUGCUUUUUUGAAGUAGGGUUAGACUAACGUUUUUAGUGGUGUUUUUUUUUAGAAACAUAUAUAAACAAAAAGUAUAUUUGGAAAGAAGAAAGGUUAGGCUUGAUUUUUAUAGUACUUUUAUUUAUAACCACUAAACUUUUUUAUGGUUAGUUUUGCUAAAAACUUUCGUGAAAAUUUCAUUGAUGUUCUCACAUUAAGUUCUUAUCGAAGGAAUGAAGUUUCCGCUUUUUUUGUUAUUCAGGAACUUUUUUGCAUGCAUUUUCUUUGUACAUGCCAAAUUUCAGCCAAAAAUAUUAGGGAGCAGAUAGUAUAAGAAGUGUAGGACUUUUGGUACCUAAAUUCGGUUUUUUUUGUUUUUGUUUUUGUUUUAUCGGUAAGAGAAAUACGGGGAGGAUAGGGGGGGUGGCGAAUGGUAAACAAAAAAAUUCUUACUACAUUGUAUUAUUUAAUUUUUAAUAUUAGAUUAUUUUAAUAAAUAAAAAAUGGUAAAAGUCAUAACAAAGAAGACUUCAAAAAGCCAAUUUGCACAGACUACAGCUGUAUCUACCUCUUGUACUACACCUGGUAAGUUACAUAACUCUUAAUUUUUAAUUUGCAAACUUUACAAUAUGUUUAACUUUAGUUCCUUAGUCAGCUGCUGCAACUAGUAAUUUAAAAAAAUAAUAAAUUUAAUAUGUGUAUGCAUUUCUCGUUAUUUGUAAUAUUGAUUUUUUGUUACAACUUU